AUUUGGUGCUGAGGGCAUUUGAUGCAUAAUUUCUUAAAUCACUCCUAGUAAUCGUAGAGAGACUCCCCUGGAUGCUGUGUAAUGCCACAUAUUUCCUUCCUCAGAUU